GCAGGGUGAGGUGGCGCAUGCCUGUAGUCCCAGCUACUCAAGAGGCUGAGGCUGGAGAGGAGUUCUGGGCUGUAGCCCGCUAUGCCGAUCGGGUAUCCGCACUUAGUUUGGCAUCAAUAUGGUGACCUCCUGAGAACAGGGUAUCACCAGGUUGCCUAAGGAGGGGUGAACUUGCCCAGGUUGGAAGCGGAGCAGGUCAAAACUCCCGUGCUAAUCAGUAGUGGGAUCGAGCCUGUGCAUAGCUACUGCACUCCAGCCUGAGCAACAUAGCGAGACCCU
rnacentral:SRP_RNA from 1 species